AUUGAACGCUGGCGGCAGGCCUAACACAUGCAAGUCGAGCGGAGGAAGGGGGCUGGCUCUUGAAUUCGGGGCGGACCGGGGGGGUAUGCCCUAGAAAUCUCCCGGGUGUUGGGGAAUAACGUCCGAAAACGGCCCCUAAUCCCCCAUCCUUCCGUGGGGGGAAGGGGGGGGAUCUUGGGACCUCACGCUUCAAUAUGACCCUAGGUCGGAUUAGCUAGUUGGUGGGGUAAAGGCCUACCAAGGCGACGAUCCGUAACUGGUCUGAGAGGAUGAUCAGUCACACUGGAACUGAGACACGGUCCAGACUCCUACGGGAGGCAGCAGUGGGGAAUAUUGGACAAUGGGCGAAAGCCUGAUCCAGCCAUGCCGCGUGUGUGAAGAAGGUCUUCGGAUUGUAAAGCACUUUAAGUUGGGAGGAAGGGCAGUAAGUUAAUACCUUGCUGUUUUGACGUUACCAACAGAAUAAGCACCGGCUAACUUCGUG
rnacentral:rRNA from 1 species